rnacentral:misc_RNA from 1 species
UUAUGAACCUCAGAAAGAGCCAUCCUUUCAAGAAGUUAAGCAGCUCCAUCAUUAAGAAGUGAAACAAAUACAACACCACACACUGAUUUUACGGUCAAAAGAGGAAAUAUAUCACAUACAGUUUAACAUCAAUACUCAAAGAAUCAACAACAGGAGGCCACGUUGGAGGCUAAAAGAAAGAGGAAGAGAAAAACAAAUAGCCAGCAUCAAGUUCAAGGGCGUUGAAAGCAAAAGGACAUUAAAAAUUGAGAUCAUCUUCCCCCUUACAAAGUCCAUGACUCAAAAGUAGAAAAAUUCAAUUCUCCCACAUAGGAUUCAUGAA